rnacentral:ncRNA from 1 species
GCGAGCCGUAUACGCUGAAAGGUGUACGUACGGUUCUGAGGGGGAAACUGUGAAACCUGCUUUUGGAGACGAAGCAAGGCGCAUGGUUUCUACCCUAC